GCCUUGUGGAUAAGGCUUUGGAUCGCCAAUCCGGAGACAACGGGUUCGAUUCCCGU
rnacentral:tRNA from 1 species